rnacentral:rRNA from 1 species
GACGACGCUGGGCGGGCGUGGAUUAGGCAUGCAAGUCGAACGGUAUCAUCCUUCGGGGGUGAGAGAGUGGCGAACUGGUGAGUAACACGUAGGUUAUCUACCCUCAAGGACGGGGACAACCCAGGGAAACUUGGGGCUAAUACCGGAUGUGAGCAACUUUUAGUUGUUUGAAAGGUGGCGUAAGCUGUCGCUUGGGGAUGAGCCUGCGUCCUAUUAGUUAGUUGGUGAGGUAACGGCUCACCUAGGCAAUGAUAGGUAGGCGGCCUUAACGGGUGGUCGCCCACACUGGGAUUGAGAUACGGCCCAGACUCCUACGGGAGGCAGCAGUCGGAAAAAAUAGUCUACAAUGGUCGGAAGACUGAUAGUGCGACGCCGCGUGAACGAUGAAUCCCUUCGGGGUGUAAAGUUCUUUUAUAUGUGAGCAGUGCUUCUUAUAUUAACAGUAUGGGGAGAGAGAUAUUAGCAUAUGAAUAAGCAACGGCUAACUCCGUG